UUAUUGCCAAAGUGUGGUAUUCUUAGUUUAUAGUAUUUUUGUAGGAGUAAUUUGUAAGUGUUUCACUUCCAUUUUUAUGUCCAACAGGAAUCAAUAUACGCCUAAAGGCAUAAGGAGGUUUGUUUUAAAAUGGCAAACGGUAAAGUAAAAUGGUUUAACGCAGAAAAAGGUUUCGGUUUUAUCGAACGCGAAGAUGGCGAUGAUGUAUUCGUACAUUUCUCAGCGAUCCAAUCUGAUGGUUUCAAAUCAUUAGACGAAGGUCAAGCAGUAUCUUUCGACGUUGAAGAUGGUCAACGCGGUCCUCAAGCAGCUAACGUUGUUAAAGACUAAUUGUUGAUUAAGAAACACCCACUUCUUUAUGGAGUGGGUGUUUUU
rnacentral:sRNA from 2 species